rnacentral:rRNA from 1 species
GAUGAACGCUGGCGGCGUGCCUAAUACAUGCAAGUCGAGCGAACAGAUAAGGAGCUUGCUCCUUUGACGUUAGCGGCGGACGGGUGAGUAACACGUGGGUAACCUACCUAUAAGACUGGCAUAACUCCGGGAAACCGGGGCCAAUGCCGGAUAACAUUUAGAACCGCAUGGUUCUACAGAGAAAGACGGUUUUGCUAUAACUUAUAGAUGGACCCGCGCCGGAUUAGCUAGUUGGUAAGGUAACGGCUUACCAAGGCAACGAUACGUAGCCGACCUGAGAGGGUGAUCGGCCACACUGGAACUGAGACACGGUCCAGACUCCUACGGGAGGCAGCAGUAGGGAAUCUUCCGCAAUGGGCGAAAGCCUGACGGAGCAACGCCGCGUGAGUGAUGAAGGUCUGCGGAUCGUAAAACUCUGUUAUUAGGGAAGAACAAAUGUGUAAGUAACUAUGCACGUCUUGACGGUACCUAAUCAGAAAGCCACGGCUAACUACGUG